rnacentral:rRNA from 1 species
UACAGAGGUGGCAAGCGUUGUUCGGAAUUACUGGGCGUAAAGGGCGCGUAGGCGGUUCGUUAAGUCCUGUGUGAAAUCCCCGGGCUUAACCUGGGAACUGCAUUUGUGACUGCACGGCUAGAGUGUGUCAGAGGGGGGUAGAAUUCCACGUGUAGCAGUGAAAUGCGUAGAUAUGUGGAGGAAUACCGAUGGCGAAGGCAGCUCGCUGGGACGGUACUGACGCUGAGGCGCGAAAGCGUGGGGAGCAAACAGG